rnacentral:rRNA from 1 species
UACGGGGGGGGCAAGCGUUGUUCGGAAUUACUGGGCGUAAAGGGCGCGUAGGCGGCCAUCUAAGUCGGACGUGAAAUCCCUCGGCUUAACCGAGGAACUGCGUCCGAUACUGGAAGGCUUGAAUCCGGGAGAGGGAUGUGGAAUUCCAGGUGUAGCGGUGAAAUGCGUAGAUAUCUGGAGGAACACCGGUGGCGAAGGCGGCUCCUGGACACUUACUGACGCUGAGGAACGAAAGCUAGGGGAGCAAACAGG